rnacentral:pre_miRNA from 1 species
AAAAUAUUGACGCAAUGAGGUAGUGGACUGUUUAGGAAGGAAAUUAAAAUAAAUCCAUUCCUAAACUUCACACUAACUCCUUAAGUCGCCCACACCAUCGCCG